rnacentral:rRNA from 1 species
AGUAGGGAAUCUUCGCGCCAGAGCUGAGAGUCUGACGGAGCACGCCCGCGUGAGUGAUGAAGGCUUUCGGGUCGUAAAACUCUGUUGUUAGGGAAGAACAAGUGCUAGUUGAAUAAGCUGGCACCUUGACGGUACCUAACCAGAAAGCCACGGCUAACUACGUGCCAGCAGCCGCGGUAAUACGUAGGUGGCAAGCGUUAUCCGGAAUUAUUGGGCGUAAAGCGCGCGCAGGUGGUUUCUUAAGUCUGAUGUGAAAGCCCACGGCUCAACCGUGGAGGGUCAUUGGAAACUGGGAGACUUGAGUGCAGAAGAGGAAAGUGGAAUUCCAUGUGUAGCGGUGAAAUGCGUAGAGAUAUGGAGGAACACCAGUGGCGAAGGCGACUUUCUGGUCUGUAACUGACACUGAGGCGCGAAAGCGUGGGGAGCAAACAGGAUUAGAUACCCUGGUAGUCCACGCCGUAAACGAUGAGUGCUAAGUGUUAGAGGGUUUCCGCCCUUUAGUGCUGAAGUUAACGCAUUAAGCACUCCGCCUGGGGAGUACGGCCGCAAGGCUGAAACUCAGUGAUUUGGCGGGGG